ensembl:lncRNA
UGAUAAUAUUCUUCUUUCCCCUAUCCCUUUACUCAGAGCCAAACUAAACACAAAGAAUAUUUUCUUAUUUUUGUUUUUAAUGAAUUUCUACAACAUUGCUUCCUAUUAGCAUGAACAAUUUUAAAUGUACUGUAAAAAUAGUAAUUAUGAAAGUUUUGAGGAGGUUGGAUUAGGGAUUGUGCAAUUUGGUGAAUGGGAGGGAUUAUUGGGAAAAUUCUUGAGAAUGAAGACUUCUUUAACAGGCUCUCUUUCUCUUCUGUAGUAAAAUAAUUACACUUAUAGAUAUGCCUAGAUCAUAAGUCAUGACAUUUCAGAAAAAGUAUGAAAAAAGUUUUAGCUUGUGGAUAAUUCCCAUCCUGCUUAUCAACCCCGAUCAGUUUCAGAAUCUCUCCAAUCUCCCACAGAUACAUACAGAACCUAUACCCUAGAGGGAGAUUCUACUCUCAGUGGAACCUAGUACACAAGAUCCAGGUUCUUAGACCAGGAGCAAGAGACACACAUUCAUGACCUAAGAAAGGAAAGAACUGGUUGCCAGGUGCAGGGGAUGGUGCUUCUCAUAAAAGACAAUUCUCCUACAAUUUCACCCACCAUUUACUCUGAAAGAAAUACCCAAUUUGGCUAGAGAGGUGGUUUUUAAAGAUAACUAGGAAGAUGCAUGGGAAAGUACAUCGUCAGCUAAUUAGCUACUGGAUUCUGUAACUGUGAUAGUGCCCAGUUGACACAGAAUGACUUUGGAUGAUGUGUGACUGGGGGUUCUCAUCACCCAAGAUUGUAAGACUAUGGAGUUUAUAGAUACUAAAUCAGGCAAAAGCUGGAACUAUGAAGAAAAACCAUCCCAGACAAUCCUUCGGAAUAAGGAUAAAUUAUCUACUAAAGGGAAAAAAGUACAUUCUUGUAAAACUAUUAAAAGGAAAAAAAAAUCUUUGAUGAAAAGUGAAAAAAGGCUGGUAUCUGUACCUAAAAUUCCAGUUACUCAACUGCUCUCUCUUAUUCCUGGACAAAAAGUGGCUGAGAGUGCUCCAGCUAAGCCUCAUAUUGAAGUAUGGAUUCUUCCCCUCAGAAAGGACCCUCAAGAAUUGACAAGAAUCAAAUCAAGGGAAACUCAAGGAAGUGAAGAUGACCAAACAGAAAUUAUCAGUUGGCAUGCAGAGGAUGAUGCUGAAAAGAAAAUUUCUUUGCCUGACCUGUUUCCAAGCCAAGUUAAUCUAAUUAAUGAGGAAAUAGUUGGUGAGUCUCAAGGCCAAAGAAAGGCAGAUUUGGAAAGGCAAGAUAUUCAGCAUGGUACAAUUACCAAAACAAUGGGUGAGUUUGAAGGCCAAAGCCUUUUGCCAGAGUGGAAAGAUCAAGAUAGUCAACCUAGUACAACUAGUACCAAGAAAAUGGGUGAGUUUGAAGGCCAAAGUCUUUUGCCAGAGUGGAAAGAUCAAGAUAGUCAACCUAGCACAACUAGUACCAAGAAAAUGGGUGAGUUUGAAGGCCAAAGCCUUUUGCCAGAGUGGAAAGAUCAAGAUAGUCAACCUAGCACAAGUAGUACUGAUAAAAAAGAACAAGAAGAACCUUCAGGAAUUUCAGAUGUGAUUCCCUCAAUUACAAGUCUAAUUAAACAAUUAGACUUAGACAGAGUAGUUGAGAUAAGCAUAGCUGAUUUAUUAAAGGACACAAAAGAAGUCAGUUUUACUCCAGCACGGGCAGAUGUUUCAACAAAAACUGUGCCUUUCUCAAAGCUUUUUCAACAAAAUAAAAUAUCUGGUUUACUAAAGGACAAAAAAGACGGUGCAAAAUUAACACAGAUGGAUGUGUCCCAAGAGCCUUUUCCACCAAGAAAGAAAUUUGAAAAGGGAAGUGAAUUACCAUCCAAAUUACAGUCAGCCAGAGAUAUUUUACUCCCGUGAACAAUUCCUUCAGUAGAAAAAAGGAGAUAUAUUCAGGAUCACAUUUUAUUUCCAGGAAAAAACUUCAUGCCACAAAAGACAAUGCUACAAUUGAGAAAAUAUUUAAAUGAUGUCAUUCUUCUAUGUAGUUUACGUCAUCAGAUUUGUUGUACUUUGAGGAAGUAUAAAAUAUUAAAAUCUAUUGGGUGUAAUUGUGAAAUAAGAUCUAUGAAAAUUUAUUUUGGGAAAUGCCACUAUUUUCAGUGUCAAAUUAUCAAUCAAAUGAAACUUGUAUUCUUAGGAGUAAUUAUCAAAAAAAUUUUCAAAUUUUGAAAAUAUAAGAGGGAAAUACACAAAUUAGAAGCCCA